AGGAUAAACGCUGGCGGCGUGCCUAAAACAUGCAAGUCGAACGGCUCACUUCGGUGGGUAGUGGCGAACGGCUGAGUAACACGUGGGUGACCUGCCUUCGAACGGGGGAUAACUGCCCGAAAGGGUGGCUAAUACCGCAGAUGUCGCUUCUUCGUUGAGGUGACUGAACUUCCGGGGUUCGAAGAGGGGCCUGCGCCCGAUUAGCUAGCUGGUGGGGUAACGGCCUACCAGGGCGACGAUCGGUAGCUGGUCUGAGAGGAUGAUCAGCCAGACUGGGACUGCGAGACGGCCCAGACUCCUACGGGAGGCAGCAGUUAGGAAUUUGGGCAAUGGGCGAAAGCCUGACCCAGCAACGCCGCGUGGGCGAAGAAGGCCUUCGGGUCGUAAAGCCCUUUUCCAGGGAAGAUAAUGACGGUACCCUGGGAAUCAGCCCCGGACUAACUACGUGCCAGCAGCCGC
rnacentral:rRNA from 1 species